GACGAACGCUGGCGGCGUGCCUAAUACAUGCAAGUAGAACGCUGAAGCGAGGAGCUUGCUCUUCUUGGCUGAGUUGCGAACGGGUGAGUAACGCGUAGGUAACCUGCCUUGUAGCGGGGGAUAACUAUUGGAAACGAUAGCUAAUACCGCAUAACAAUGGAUGACACAUGUCAUUUAUUUGAAAGGGGCAAUUGCUCCACUACAAGAUGGACCUGCGUUGUAUUAGCUAGUAGGUGAGGUAAUGGCUCACCUAGGCGACGAUACAUAGCCGACCUGAGAGGGUGAUCGGCCACACUGGGACUGAGACACGGCCCAGACUCCUACGGGAGGCAGCAGUAGGGAAUCUUCGGCAAUGGGGGCAACCCUGACCGAGCAACGCCGCGUGAGUGAAGAAGGGUUUCGGAUCGUAAAGCUCUGUUGUAAGUCAAGAACGGGUGUGAGAGUGGAAAGUUCACACUGUGACGGUAGCUUACCAGAAAGGGACGGCUAACUACGUG
rnacentral:rRNA from 1 species